ACUAUUGAUACCAUGGUAUUGCUGGCUUGCAGGUAGCUUGACACUCAUGCACUUGAUUCAAGGAUCGUGAUGGUGUGUGAAGGCUCGAUUAGUAAUCGAGACAAACGGCCUAGCAGGUCUGCACCCAGCAGGUAAUCGCUGUCAUUCUGCAACACUACUACGACCUUAGGUUCAUGGCCCGCACAGAUAGGAGGCGUUGGUUGGUGGGAUGGUUUCGAGAUCCUCACUUUGGUCCAACCUUUUCCUGAUUCCGCACAGCAGGUUGUUUAUGAUGGUGGAUGUGAGUUCACCUGCCGGCGGGGCUCAUUGCAGAAGCAGCCAGUAGGAGUCGUUUGACAUUAUUGAUUAACAGCUCUAGAACCAAAUCUCUAUGUCUUACAAAAGAGAGUUCUGUAACCACUGAAUUAUUUCUUGCAACUACAGUCUACCGUUGCAUCUAAAGUUCACCAAUCAGAGGUAUUAAACAACAAAGGUACAUGGCACUAAUUGAAGGAUUCCAGAUAAGUUAUCUUCACUAAACAUUCUUCAAUAUAUUCCUGGAAUGUUUCUGCAUGGUACCCUGUCACAAACAUAGUUGAUGUAUAUGCACAGAAUGCCGGAUACUAAAAUAAAGAGUGCUAGCUGGAUGCCAAGAUUUACUGGAUGGUUUGAUGUUUUGCCAGGUAUAAUGACAGUUCACUCAGCACGGUGACGAUGUAUCCCGAACCCUCAUCAUCGCUUGAUAAUUUCGGAUGCCAAGACCUGCGUAAAGAGGUUGAAGGGCUUUGGUCUUCAAAAGAAGAACAUCCACAUCUCCGCUUGUUUAGGCUAGCUGUAUCAGAUGCUUCCUCACAACAGGAGUAUUUAAUCCAGAGCCAACUAAUAACAGCAGCAAGAGUAACUUUAAUCUGUCAUGUGCACAUGGAGGGUGAUUCGUUGAACAAAACCACAUGAUGGCCAACAUUGAGUUUUACGACCAUUCACGACACAUGGCAAUCCAAAAACAACAGUCAAAGAUUAAGAUUGAGAACGGAAUCAGAAUUGGGAUUGGGGAUAUGGGGUUGAGUUGACUUUGGUCAGAGUUGACCAAAAAGUCAACGGUUGACCAAAGUCAACAGUUGGUCAACACACUCAUUCUUUGUAUUUUUUCCUGUAAUGA